CUUUGAACACAUGGGCUUAUAGUUUUAUACUGUGUGGUCACAGCCAUCCAUGGUGCUUCUAGAACAGUAUGAGAAUGGCUUUCAUGUUAACCACUCGUGAGUCAAAUAAUGUCUUAUGUGCAGGAAAUAUAAUGCUUUACUAUGUCCUUGGUGAGAUCCAACCUUACAAUUUGUAAAUAGGCCCGACAUGGCUAUUAUAUGAUUACGAGUCAAUUUCAAGGAUUGAUUUUAGAGAUGGAUUUAGUAAUAUCUGUGACAUUUGUGGAACAUGGGGCAUGUUAAGGAAGACGUUGAACAUUUGGGACAGACUUCUGCUAAAGGCAUAAGGAAGGCACAGAAUCAUGGACAUGGAAGCUGAGAGUCUGCCUAAU